UACGUAGGGGGCAAGCGUUGUCCGGAAUCAUUGGGCGUAAAGAGCGUGUAGGCGGCCAGAUAAGUCCGCUGUGAAAUCUCGAGGCUCAACUUCGAGCUGUCGGUGGAAACUGUCUGGCUAGAGUCCGGAAGAGGAGAAUGGAAUUCCUGGUGUAGCGGUGAAAUGCGCAGAUAUCAGGAAGAACACCCGUGGCGAAGGCGGCUACCUGGACAAUUGCUGACGCUCAGGCACGAAAGCGUGGGGAGCAAACAGG
rnacentral:rRNA from 1 species